rnacentral:rRNA from 1 species
UGGGGAAUAUUGCACAAUGGGGGAAACCCUGAUGCAGCGACGCCGCGUGAGCGAAGAAGGCCUUCGGGUCGUAAAGCUCUUUUAUAUGGGAAGAUAAUGACGGUACCAUAGGAGGAAGCCCCGGCUAACUACGUGCCAGCAGCCGCGGUAAUACGUAGGGGGCGAGCGUUGUCCGGAAUUACUGGGCGUAAAGGGUCCGCAGGCGGCAUGACAAGUCCGAUGUAAAAGGCGAAAGCUCAACUUUCGUAAGCAUCGGAAACUGUCAAGCUUGAGUGAAGGGGAGGCAAGUGGAAUUCCUAGUGUAGCGGUGGAAUGCGUAGAUAUUAGGAGGAAUACCGGUGGCGAAGGCGACUUGCUGGACUUCGAAUGACGCUGAGGAACGAAAGCGUGGGUAGCAAACAGG